UUCAGCGGGCUGCCCAAGGAAUCUGACGUCUUUGACCAGGAGCUCAUAAAUGUAGGAAAACCUUGACUGGACCAUGGCAUCAGACAACUUAAAAACCAAGGAAAUGGUCUUUCUGCAAAAAUGAUCAGAAACUCUUGAUAUAAUGGUCAGCUCUAAGAGUGCAUUCAAGGGGGCAUUCAUAGGAAUGGUCUGCUCUGGGGCCGGAGGUCUUAUUGGUGGUCCAGCUGGACUAGUGGCAGGUUUUGCUGCGGGAGGUGUUUGGGGUAUAUGGUGAAUUUGUCUGUGCCUCUAACUGAGCACCUGAAGAAACAGACACCUGAAUGGCUCCAGAAACUCUGUGCUGACCUCAGGAAACUGCUUGAGGACCUUUUCUGGUCCUCUGUGGACUUCAUGGUUGAGAAAGUUG